CUCCCAGCCCGAGGACGCUUGGCGUAGGUUGUGUCGCUGCUAUCGCCGUUACACUCCACCCGACGACCGCUUGGACGAGUAGACGGGAAAUUGUAGUGACUAAGAGAAUUGGAAAUGAAAUCUAUGAAAAUGAGGAUUGAUGAUAGCAGCAUAAGCCUGUCCUUACGAGGUUACCUGAAGAUCUACGGCAUGUACACCAUUGAAUGAAGAUGUUUCUCUGGUCAAGACAGGUACCUGACCUCCAAGAACUUAGUGGCAAGCAAAUUAACUGCAUCCAAAGUAUGACUCAUUUUUCUCAUAUGAAUUGUGCUUAUGACGUGUUAAUGAAACUUUUUUAUAGAAUUAAUCUAUCAUGUAUGGACAUUGUUAACCAUUUUUUUAAUUACAUAGUACGACAAUCUCUAUUUACGUUUUUGCAUGACUUCCGGUUUUCUUGCAUCAUUAUUCAGUAAGUUUUUCUUUCAUACAUAGAAUACAAGCCACGAGAGAUGAUUUUGUGCACCUGGGCGUGCAUACACCAGGUUGAUUUGAAAUAGUAAAAACAUGCAUGUGUAAGUUCAUAGACGUUCUGAAAUGAUGUUGGAUAUUGUUGGAUGUUUGAACAUAUGAAAUUUGAGCCAAAAUUAUAUGUGUUUGAGUUCUCUGUAGGAGAAUAAAGGAGAGAGCGUCUAAAAUAGAUCAUGGAAAUAUACUCAAUUAGUUUAAUUCGUGGAGCAUGCAAAAUAAAAUUUAUUGGACGAACUUAGUUUAGAACAGUAUGUAUUCCUAAAUUGGACUGUACAAAACCCAAUUUUUGUUUUCUGCAUGUUGGUUACCUAGCUUCUAGGAAGACUGGUCGAAUAAUGUUUUUUCGUUAGUUCCUCUUUUGGGUAUGGACGUGGUAUGUGCCUGUCCCUGCAUACAUUUCAUCUUUUGUGGUUCAAGUAUUAUGUACCUACAGCUAAAUAUUAUUGGCUAGCCUCUAGGAAGACUGAUUGAAUAAUUUUUUUCCGUUAGUUCCUCUCUAAAGUCUUUUGGGUAUGGAUGUGGUAUGUGCCUGUCCCCGCACACAUUUCAUCUUUUGUGGUUCAAGUAUGUACCUACAGCUAAAUAUUAUUGGUGUGCUGCAAGUUUUAUCUAUUCUGUUUACUCACAGUUUUAUGUUGCAAGUAGAAGUAUAGAGGAUUGUCUCAUUGUAGCAAGGCGUGCGUUCUCUUCCAUCUAACCUAUCUCAUCAUUCCGGUUCACAACUGAAAGAAUUAAUCAGUUUUGCCCGCCCUAUGGUUAACCAUGAGAAACCACCACCUGUUUUAGUGAUAAUCAUUUAAUAACAUAUUCUCUUUUUUUCAUGUCUAACUUUCUAUUCUGUAUACAGUAGUCGCUCCAUUUCUAAAUAUAUUAU